UCCCUUUUAGGGACAUACCUGGAGAGCUUCCAGUACUCUACCAGUUUUGGCUACAGGAGGGAGAGUCAAGCAGGGAUCUACCCAUUCCAUUCCUAGAUUGGGCAGUGGCUAGAGAGUGGAUGACAAUCUGCUACAAGU